CAGAAGUUGUCUGAAGGGAGAAGAGCUGGAGCGAGGAGCAGCGGAUGUGGGGAGAGAGCGGAUGUGGCACAAGUGUGUUCACCCGAGCACAUCGCACCUUGAAAAGCGCUUGUCCCAUCAUGGGCAUGCCACAUAUUUGUUGGAUUGCAUUCUUACCCAAAUACUCUUCGUGAUUGCCUGCUUUGCGGCUUUGGGGUGCAGCUCAUGGAAAUCUUUAAGGGAUAGAUUCUCCAGGGAGUAGAGAACAUUCACACGGAUUGACAUCCCAAUUUUCUCAUCCUGUUGAAUCCGACUUUUUCAUUUACCGACAACUAACUCAAAAAUCUUAAAUUUGGUAUUUUGAAGUUUGUAUUUCCAAAUAUCCCAAAACUCUUCCUUUUCCUAUGGCCCCUCCCCAGCAUGUUCUGAAGUGG
rnacentral:lncRNA from 1 species